UCCUAAAUCGCAGGUCUGGGUUUGACACAGGAAAGAGAAGUUAGCACAGACACACCCUGCCCCAGCUCUCCAAGGGAAAGGCCAAAUUGGCCUUCAAGAGAGCUCAGCUUCUCAUGCCUUCCUUGCCUCCUCCUUUUAAGUUUCUUCAGCGCUGCCCCUUGAACUCCCAUCAUUGGAUAAGUCUCAGUAAAUGCUAUCCCCCAAAAGAUGAGUUGAUCGGUUUGUUUGUUUCCUCCCCGGCAUUCAUUCCCCUCUGGCAUCAGCCACAGGUUUUCUUAGGGAAGCCACUCUCCCCCAGUCCCAGUCCCUGUGGUCUGUACGGUUGUUCCACCUGCGUCUACAGAUGAGGCCGGUGACUCAGCUCUGGCCAGUUGACAGAAGAAGCUGAGAAAGCUGCCUUGCAAUUAUUAGGAAGCGCCUCCUUGAGAAAGGAGCUGACAUGGAAAACAACUGAACAGAAAGAAACCAGGUUCUUGUGACAUAUUGUGAGCCCCGGCUGUUAAAGCAAGAAUUACUCUUGGGUUUUUGCUAAAGCCACUUUGGGUAGGUUCUUGCAAUUGAACGAGUAACUGAUUCAUGAGCAGCUCUGACCCUCUACCUUGGGGUUUGUCCUCUAGGUAAAUUAGGUCUUCUUUGGCGCCAAUUGGGUUACUCACCAUGAGCAGCUUCAUGUUCCCUGCUGUGCAAAGGGGCCGGCUCCUGAAAGAGAAGAAAAGAGGCAGCCUUAUCACUGGAAAAGAGCCCAGGUCCUGUUGCAUUGUUGGGAAGGUCACCAGGGAAGCCAGCAUAGGCUCUGGAAUCAGGGUGCCAGGCAUCUCAUACGCCCUCCUGGAAGGAUGGAUGCAAACUGCAUGAGGACAACACCUUUGCUGUGUUCACCACAAUAGUCCAGCACCUAGAGCAAGGCCAGGCCUGGAAAGUGUUGAAUGAGUGAGUACGGUUUUUUAAAUACAAAAUACAGAAAUGUGUAAACACAGAAGGUGAAGUGCCCUCAUGUGAUUCUAGUUCCCUGAUGUCCUUUGCACAGGGAGGCAAGUAGGGGUCACAGGGAUCCCAAGGCGGCCUCCAGCCUCACCUCCACGUCUGUCCUUUCCAGUGUGAGCGAGCUGGGGUUUGCUCUCCUCUCUGUGUCCUGCAGCUUAGUCAACUUUUCUAUCAGGAACAUUUUAUCUUUGCCCUCCUGCCAAGAAGAAAAAGGAAAAGGAGAACAUGGAGGAUGAAUGGUGAUGUGGAGUUGAGAAGCAAAUGAAGGGAAGGCUUAUUUGUAGGCAGGUAGGGUCCAUUGGAUGGAUAUUGCCGCCAUGUUUUUUCUUGAUGAAAUAAAACAUGUCAUAGUAAAGCCAAGUGAUCCCCCAAAGCCUUCCUGAAUUAGGAUAUUCUCCUCUAAAGCAAUUCCCCUAGCAGGCUUGAGUAGCAGCCUUCUCCAGCCUGGAUGCUAGAAGCAGCUUACAUGCCACUGUCAAAGGUCUAGGACAAAUGGUUUAUUGUCUCUCCCUUCUUGGCAUUCCCUCUGCCCCAGAACCCUGCGUGGGCACCCAGCAUUGCCUGGGUCUGCCCUGUCCUCCCACUGAGAAUGUCAAAGCUUAUAGCUCUGCAUCUAAGGACAUCAAAUCUAUUUCAUUUGUCAAAGUUAUCUAUGUCAAUGGAAUAGACCGAGUUAAAUAAUCCCCUAGUUGGGAAGGGGAAGGAAGGAAGAGGGUAUGCCUUCCCCAGGGGGGUGAGUUGCUUUCCUGUGAACCUGUUGCAGAUAAGAGAGUGGUAUGUUCCACCUGAGUUGAGGUGGGCUAGCGAGCACCAUUGAUGGUCUGUCUAGUCCAGGUGAAUCCAGGUCCCAUGCCCUCGUUUUUCCUUCAAUUUUCACUCGUUAAUUUUAGUUUCCACUAGUGGAUCUCGCUUGUAACAAUUAUUACUGUGCUGUUUGUUUUAUGAUGAUUUUCUGUUCCCCUCAUUCCUUCUACAUUUAUUAAUUGGAAAUCUUCUCUACGGAAGCACUGAAUUUGGGAAUGCAAGGUAAUCAAGUCAUUGGUGAGCAAAAGUCUUCUUUUAUAGAGUUCCAGCUAAUAUAUGCAGAAGAAUUCUAGAAUCAGAGUAUCACUAUUUUGUAAUCCAUAAUGAAAUAAAUGGAUCUUCUCUAGGCAGUACUCAUCAAAGGCUGCCAAGGCCAUUAGAGAUAAGGCUGAUGAGCUUUAUAAUGGAUGAGUCAGGCUAACAAAGCACUGAUUGCUCUUAACAUCACACACAAAAAAGACAAUCACAUUUUAUACCUCAAAUGCCAUAAGAUGCUCAUAGCAUCAUCUAUGAAGUAUUCUGGCUAAAAAGUUGAGCUAGACUCUAAUCAGAUCUCUACAUCUCACCACUAGUUUACAGGAAAUAAAAAGUAAAAAGAACCUGACUGGCAUGACUCAGUGGUUGAGCAUGAACCUAUGAGCCAGGAGGUCACGGUUCGAUUCCUGGU